rnacentral:tRNA from 1 species
GCCUGGGUGGCAGUAGGUUAAGCGCCUGACUUCGGCUCAGGUCAUGAUCUCGCGGUCCGUGGGUUCGAGCCCCGCGUCGGGCU